GACGAACGCUGGCGGCGUGCUUAACACAUGCAAGUCGAACGGAAAGGCCCUGCUUUUGUUGGGUGCUCGAGUGGCGAACGGGUGAGUAACACGUGAGUAACCUGCCCUUGACUUUGGGAUAACUUCAGGAAACUGGGGCUAAUACCGGAUAGGAGCUCUUGCUGCAUGGGGUGGGUUGGAAAGUUUCGGCGGUUGGGGAUGGACUCGCUGCUUAUGAGCUUGUUGGUGUGGUAGUGGCUUACCAAGGCUUAGACGGGUAGCCCGCCUUAGAGGGUGACCGGCCACAAUGGGACUGAGAUACGGCCCAGAACCCUACGGGAGGCAGCAGGGGAGAGUAUUGCAGAAUGGGGGGAAGCCUGAUGCAGCAACGCCGCGUGCGGAAUAACGGCCUUCGGGUUAUAAACCGAUUUCGACUGUGACGAAGAGUGAGUGACGGUAAUGAGUAAAGAAGCACCGGCUAACUACGUG
rnacentral:rRNA from 1 species